rnacentral:rRNA from 1 species
AUUGAACGCUGGCGGCAGGCUUAACACAUGCAAGUCGAGCGAGCGGCGGACGGGUGAUUACUGUCUGGGAAACUGCCUGAUGGAUGGGGAUAACUACUGGAAACGGUAGCUAAUACCGCAUACCAUCAGAAGUGCCCAGAUGGGAUUAGCUAGUAGGUUGGGUAAUGGCUCACGUAGGCGACGGUCCCUAGCUGGUCUGAGAGGAUGACCAGUCACACUGGACCUGAGACACGGUCCAGACUCCUACGUGAGGCAGCAGUGGGGAAUAUUGAAAAAUGGGCGCAAGCCUGAUGCAGCCAUGCCGAGUGUGUGGAGAAGGCCUUCGGGUUGUAAAGGACUUUCAGCGAGGAGGCGUUACUCGCAGAAGGAGCACCGGCUAAAUCCGUGCCAGCGGCAGCGGUAAAUC